AGAGUUUGAUCCUGGCUCAGAACGAACGCUGGCGGCAGGCUUAACACAUGCAAGUUGAACGUGAUUUGCUGGGUGCUUGCACCGAGCAAUGAAAGUAGCGCACUGGUGAGUAACACGUGGGAACGUACCUUUUGGUGGGGAACAACAGUUGGAAACGACUGCUAAUACCGCAUAAGCCCUGAGGGGGAAAGAUUUAUCGCCGAAAGAACGGCCCGCGGAAGAUUAGGUAGUUGGUGGGGUAACGGCCUACCAAGCCGACGAUCUAUAGCUGGUCUGAGAGGACGAUCAGCCACAUUGGAACUGAGACACGGUCCAAACUCCUACGGGAGGCAGCAGUGAGGAAUAUUGGGCAAUGGAGGCAACUCUGACCCAGCCAUGCCGCGUGAGUGAAGAAGGUUUUCGGAUUGUAAAGCUCUUUCGGGUGUGACGAUGAUGACGGUAGCACCUAAAGAAGCCCCGGCUAACUUCGUGCCAGCAGCCGCGGUAAUACGAAGGGGGCAAGCGUUGUUCGGAAUUACUGGGCGUAAAGGGAGUGUAGGCGGUUAUGUAAGAUAGUGGUGAAAUCCCAGAGCUUAACUUUGGAAUUGCCAUUAUGACUAUGUGGCUAGAAUUACAGAGAGGAUAGUGGAAUACCCAGUGUAGAGGUGAAAUUCGUAGAUAUUGGGUAGAACACCAGUGGCGAAGGCGACUAUCUGGCUGUAUAUUGACGCUGAGGCUCGAAAGCAUGGGGAUCAAACAGGAUUAGAUACCCUGGUAGUCCAUGCUGUAAACGAUGAGUGCUUGUUGUCGGUAUUGUAUCGGUGACGAAGUUAACGCGUUAAGCACUCCGCCUGGGGAGUACGGUCGCAAGAUUAAAACUCAAAGGAAUUGACGGGGACCCGCACAAGCGGUGGAGCAUGUGGUUUAAUUCGAUGCAACGCGAAGAACCUUACCAACUCUUGACAUCCUUAUCGGGGAGAUCAGAGAUGAUUUCUUUCAGUUAGGCUGGAUAAGUGACAGAUGCUGCAUGGCUGUCGUCAGCUCGUGUCGUGAGAUGUUGGGUUAAGUCCCGCAA
rnacentral:rRNA from 1 species